UACAGAGGUCCCAAGCGUUGUUCGGAUUCACUGGGCGUAAAGGGUGCGUAGGUGGUGGGGUAAGUCGGAUGUGAAAUCUCCGGGCUCAACCCGGAAAUGGCAUUGGAAACUACCUUGCUGGAGGAUUUGAGGGGGGAUUGGAAUACUUGGUGUAGCAGUGAAAUGCGUAGAUAUCAUGAGGAAUACCAGAGGCGAAGGCGGCUACCUGGACAAUUGCUGACGCUCAGGCACGAAAGCGUGGGGAGCAAAAGGG
rnacentral:rRNA from 1 species